rnacentral:rRNA from 1 species
UGCGCAGGCGGGCUAAUAAGUCAGUGGUGAAAUCUUUCGGCUUAACCGGGAAACUGCCAUUGAUACUGUUAGUCUUGAGUUCGGUUGAGGUAGGCGGAAUGUGUAAUGUAGCGGUGAAAUGCUUAGAUAUUACACAGAACACCAAUUGCGUAGGCAGCUUACUAGACCGACACUGACGCUGAGGCACGAAAGCGUGGGGAGCAAACAGGAUUAGAUACCCUGGUAGUCC